UUUAUGGAGAGUUUGAUCCUGGCUCAGGAUGAACGCUGGCGGCGUGCCUAAUACAUGCAAGUCGAGCGAACAGAUAAGGAGCUUGCUCCUUUGACGUUAGCGGCGGACGGGUGAGUAACACGUGGAUAACCUACCUAUAAGACUGGGAUAACUUCGGGAAACCGGAGCUAAUACCGGAUAACAUAUUGAACCGCAUGGUUCAAUAGUGAAAGGCGGCUUUGCUGUCACUUAUAGAUGGAUCCGCGCCGUAUUAGCUAGUUGGUAAGGUAACGGCUUACCAAGGCAACGAUACGUAGCCGACCUGAGAGGGUGAUCGGCCACACUGGAACUGAGACACGGUCCAGACUCCUACGGGAGGCAGCAGUAGGGAAUCUUCCGCAAUGGGCGAAAGC
rnacentral:rRNA from 1 species